GAUGAACGCUGGCGGCGUGCCUAAUACAUGCAAGUCGAGCGACCAGAUGAGCCGCUUGCUCCUCUCACGUUCGCGACGCACGGGUGAGUAACACUUGGAUAACCUACCUAUAAGCCUGGGAUCACUUCGUACCACCUGCGCUACUCCCUUGUAAUCUAUUGACCCGCAUGGUUCAAUACUCAAAGACGGUUUUGCUGUCUCUUAUCGAUGUAUCCGCGGCGCAUUAGCUACUUGGUAAGGUAACGGCGUACCAAGGCAACGAUGCGUAGCCGACCUGAGAGUGUGAUAGGACACACAGGAACAGAGACACGGACCAGACGCCUACGGGAGGAAGCAGUAGGGAAGCGGCCGAAAUGGGCGAAUGCGUGACGGAGCAACGCCGCGAGAGUGAUGAAGGUAUGCGGAUCGUAAAACUGUGUUAUUAGGGAAGAAGAAAUGUGUAAGUAACUAUGCACGGCUUGACGGUACCGAAUCAGAAAGCCACGGCUAACUACGUG
rnacentral:rRNA from 1 species